rnacentral:lncRNA from 1 species
ACUAGCGAAAAGUCAGGGCCUCGGAGGCUUGUCCUCAUGCGCUCUCCUUAUCCAUACGGGUCUGACGCCUACGCAGUUGUGCACGCCGGAAAUCUCGCCUCGUCCUUGGGUUCUGUUGAUUCGUAUACCAAGCUAUAAAACUAGACGCUGUGCUAAGCCAAGGCUUCGUGAAACGCGUAGAGUCGACACCCCCUGAUGGCGCGGGAUGGGGCCGGUGAAAAUUCCUUACCGGUGUUUGGAGAUCCGCCGUUGACGCUCUGCACCGUUGCCAGAAAUUUUGGUGCCAUACACGCCGGUGAGUCUCCUCACAUAUUUUCACAUUUACACUCUAGGGGCAUAUCAUCAUUGGAUUGGGGAUUGGAGCACUAGAGCCUCCUGGUUGGAUGACGCCGCCAUGGGCUGGGUGACGCUGCUCGUGGGCAAGAUGGUACCGUUGCCGUCCAUAUGGGGUUGGACAUCUGGGAUUAAAUGCAGACUCUUCCUUCGUCUUAGCGCCGAGCGACCAUCCGAUGCUGAGAGGACUGGUGAGAUUAGGGGCGUGUUCGCCACACUUUUAAGCUACACAUGUGGCGGUCGAUUUGGCCGCCAUAUCUGUGGUUUAAAAGUAUGGCGCGAUGUGGUGGUUUAGGCGUCACACCAAACACGUCCUAGAUCGCAUGAACCACUUCAUCUUAAUAGAUCAAAACCGUCGUCGAUUCACUGGUGGGUGGCCAUGAUUUGAUCUGAGAUACCCCUUCGUUCAUGAAUCUAGGCCACAGAUCGUUGGAUCGACGGCUUUGGGCGCGUACCGUUUCGAGUUAGGAGAACCUAAUCUGGGCCGUUGAUCCGGUAGUGAACGACCAGAUCUGAUUGAUACCCUUUCGGGCUGGCAAAAUCACUGAAAAGACCCUAGACUUUUUAAUAACUAACUCGUCGUCCUGUUUUUCACAGCAGUGACCUCGGAAACAAAUUUUAAAAUUACAGAUCAUCAUCUGAAUUUGCAGAGAAGUCCCUGGCCUUUUGGGUAUUAAUAAUAUAAAUCCGAGAAUUGAAUUCUAGUACAAAUUUAAUCCUAAAAACUUGCAAAAUUCAUAUCUUUUGCAUUUUAACUCCAAAUUGACCCGUUCGAAUUGUGUUAGACUCGUAGAAAUAUUUGCUACACAGUAACAAUGUUAAUUAUACAAUAUCAUAUACUUUUAUAAUUAAGUAACUAAUUUGAUUUAUCUAUGUUUAGUGAAUUAGCUUUUCUAAUAUUAAUAUAAUAUUCCGGUCUUAUAGUUAGAAGUUGGCUAAAAGAUAAUAUCUAAUCAAGUAAUAACUUAGACUAAAGUUAAACGAAGAUUCUUAUAUAUUCUCUCACAUAACUUAGGUUAGUAAAGUAUAAGUUCUAUUAUUUAAACACAUAAAACUUCGAAAAAAAACCAUAUCUGCUCAACCACAACUCUGAUUCUAGUCAUUUUCGAACCCACGAUCUCGUAGCAACGCAUAGAAGAUUAUUAUGCAGUUUGUGCUUAUGUUUGAUGUGAUGUUAAUUUUGCCUAUAUCAUGUUUGUUUGUAUUGCUACGAAUAGCAAUGAGGUCACGAGAAUCUGAAGAUCAUACUGGUACCUGGAAUCUCGAGUCCUAGGCAAGUUGUGCCCUUAACCAUAUUUAUUACCCAAUAAUGUUCUUUAAUAUCAUUUAUCCAUGCAUAGGUUUACUUUUGAUGGGACCCAAUAGGUCACCCUAGACUGAUUAUCUUUUACCUUCUUUACCCCUGAAUCAUUUGGGUAGUUUGCUAUUACUUUAUUGGUUUUGGGUUAAUAUUUCAUUAUAUCCAUGUUCCAAUUAUUCUGUUAUUUUAUUUAUGUUUAUGUCAAGAUCAUUAUCUUUAAUUGGAACAUGGAGCUUAACUUGAGAAACAUGUGCCACCACAAGGGUGGAAUGGGAUGUCCUUGGCUGACUAAUUAGGAAAGCUAGUGGAAGACUACCUUACCCGAAAGGGGCAAGGGCAGUAGGGGAGUUGCAUGCAGGGAGGUUCUCGGGUUGAUUUUGCUGCAAUGGUGGUCAGAUGAGGGAUUCUUGCAAGUGCUCUUCCCAUAAACUGUAGCGGGUUUUCGGAAGCUAGUGGAACUUUGUAAAGGCCAAGUAGUGGAUCCCUAGCUAUUCACCUCGGAAGUGUCUAAGGGUCUAGCUAACCCUGGCGACAUGGGAUACACGACUUGUGGGUACAGGUAGGGAUGAAAACGGAAACGGUAAUUUUCGGAUACCGGAGAUCGUUUUCGAAAUUUUACCGAAAUUUAGGUCUAAAUGGAAAUGGAAACGGUUACCGAAAAUACGGAAACGGAAUCGGUAGAAAAACUCGGAAACGGAAACAGUUUGGGUCUCUUCCGACCGUUUCCGGAAAUUACCGUUUUUAUUCGGUAUUUUACCGUCGGUAAUAAAUUCAGUAUUUUUUAGAAAAAAAUAUUAAAUCUGAACUGAUCUUUAUAAAUUCAUAAUAAAUUCAUCUUAGCUUAGAAAAAUAUAAAACUAAUUUUAUUAUUUUUCUAAAAUCAAGAUCUAUCUAAUGGUAUAUAGUUUAGAAUCGUUUGAAACUUUUUAUAAAUCUUAUUUAUGCUUUCUUACCUCUUAUUACUCUUGAUACAUAUAUUCACAAUUUGAAUGAGAACUUAAGAAGUACCAAGAGGACACUAAUUAUAUUGACUAUACCAAGUAGUAGGUGUAUAAAUAGAAUGUAAGUGCCAUAUCAUUAUACACAUCUUGAUUCUACUUUAUUUAAAUACAUAAUAAUGAUUUUAUUGUUUUAUGGUUUCUUACUUUAUAUAUUUAUUGUGACCUGCUCCUUAUAUAUUAUUAUUAAUUUUAUAUAAAUGUAUGACUUACGUGAAUUUUUGAAGUCAAUUGAGGAUACAAGUUACAGUUUUUACCGAUCAAAUUUUUAGAUUCUGAUCGUAACCGGUGUAAUUUUCGUACCGAACUUUCGUUUCCGAUGUUUCCGAAUUACCGAUAUCGUUUUCGUUUCCGGAGUUACCGUUUUCGAUCUCGUUUCCGAGAAAAAAUAUGAAAAUGAAAAUGGUUUUUGUGUUUACCGAUCGUUUCCGACCGUUUUCACCCCUAGGUACAGGGUACAACCUCUGCAGAGUGUAAAACUGGUAUACUAGCUGAGCUCACGGUCAAAAGCACCUCAGGACUCUCGCAUGAUUAAAUUAUGGAACUAAAUUCAAUUUGUCAUUUAUAUUGCAUGGGAUUUGUUAUUAAUUUUGUUUAUUUAUGGUUUGGUAUAUACUUAUACUUAGUAAUUGCUAAUAAAAUUUUGACUAACUUUAAAAAGCAAUGCUCAGCUUUAACCAUUCUCUUAGUAAGCCUUACACUUCACAUGCUCCCACCUUUGGCGAGUUAAUGCACAUUAUUCCCCACAACUUGUUGAGCUAUGAACGUAUGUGAGCUCAUUCUUGCUGUCUCACCCCUCCACAGGUCAAGUACAGGUACCACAGGAUGAGGCGCAUGGUGGAUGCUGCGAUGUGUUCGUGAGAGGUCUAGGUCAUCGUCUCCCAGUCAACUUUGGGUUGAUGGAUCGUUGUCUCCUUAUGAUGUAAUUAUUUAUUUAUUUUGUACAUAACUCAUAUUGUAUAAUAAAGUUGUGACAUUCGUUUCUGUACCACUAUUCAUCAUAUGUGUGAGACUUGGUCCCAGCAUAUCUGGUGUUUAUGUUCGCACUCGGUCCCUAAAACUCGGGUAUGACAGUAGCACCAGCAUUUUUAGACCAAAUGUCAUGACAACCCACUCAAAUAAACCAAUGAAGCCUAGAC